rnacentral:rRNA from 1 species
GAGUUUGAUCUUGGCUCAGAUUGAACGCUGGCGGAAUGCUUUACACAUGCAAGUCGAGCGGCAGCGCGGGGCAACCUGGCGGCGAGCGGCGAACGGGUGAGUAAUGCAUCGGAACAUGUCCAUGUCGUGGGGGAUAGCCCGGCGAAAGCCGGAUUAAUACCGCAUACGCCCGAGAGGGGAAAGUGGGGGACCGCAAGGCCUCACGCGAUUGGGUUGGCCGAUGUCCGAUUAGCUAGUUGGCGGGGUAAAGGCCCACCAAGGCGAUGAUCGGUAGCUGGUCUGAGAGGAUGAUCAGCCACACUGGGACUGAGACACGGCCCAGACUCCUACGGGAGGCAGCAGUGGGGAAUUUUGGACAAUGGGGGAAACCCUGAUCCAGCCAUUCCGCGUGAGUG